UACAGGGGGGGCAAGCGUUGUUCGGAAUUACUGGGCGUAAAGGGUUCGUAGGUGGCCACUUAAGUCAGACGUGAAAUCCCUCAGCUUAACUGGGGAACUGCGUCUGAUACUGAGUGGCUUGAGUGCAGGAGAGGAAUGCGGAAUUCCAGGUGUAGCGGUGAAAUGCGUAGAUAUCUGGAGGAACACCGGUGGCGAAGGCGGCAUCCUGGACCGGCAUUGACGCUGAGGCGCGAAAGCCAGGGGAGCAAACGGG
rnacentral:rRNA from 1 species